rnacentral:rRNA from 1 species
UACAGAGGGUGCAAGCGUUAAUCGGAAUUACUGGGUGUAAAGCGCGCGUAGGUGGUUUGUUAAGUUGGAUGUGAAAGCCCCGGGCUCAACCUGGGAACUGCAUCCAAAACUGGCAAGCUAGAGUACGGUAGAGGGUGGUGGAAUUUCCUGUGUAGCGGUGAAAUGCGUAGAUAUAGGAAGGAACACCAGUGGCGAAGGCGACCACCUGGACUGAUACUGACACUGAGGUGCGAAAGCGUGGGGAGCAAACAGG